rnacentral:rRNA from 1 species
UACGGAGGAUGCAAGCGUUAUCCGGAAUUAUUGGGCGUAAAGGGUCCGCAGGUGGCUUAUCAAGUCUGCUGUUAAAGCAUGGAGCUUAACUCCAUAUCGGCAGUGGAAACUGAUGAGCUAGAGUUCGGUAGGGGUCACGGGAAUUCCCAGUGUAGCGGUGAAAUGCGUAGAUAUCAGGAGGAAUACCGGUGGCGAAAGCGACUCUCUGGACGGCAACUGACGCUGAGGCACGAAAGCGUGGGGAGCAAACAGG